rnacentral:rRNA from 1 species
UACGGAGGGUGCAAGCGUUAUCCGGAUUCACUGGGUUUAAAGGGUGCGUAGGUGGGCAGUUAAGUCAGUGGUGAAAUCUCCGGGCUUAACCCGGAAACUGCCAUUGAUACUAUCUGUCUUGAAUACCGUGGAGGUGAGCGGAAUAUGUCAUGUAGCGGUGAAAUGCUUAGAUGAUGACAUAGAACACCAAUUGCGAAGGCAGCUCACUACACGAAUAUUGACACUGAGGCACGAAAGCGUGGGGAUCAAACAGG